GGGGAAGCAUCAUAGCUCAGUGGUAGAGCAUCUUCUUUGCAUUCACAAGGUUCCAGGUUCAAUCCCUGGCAUCUCCU